rnacentral:rRNA from 1 species
UAGCUUGACACUGAACAUUGAGCCUUGAUGUGUAGGAUAGGUGGGAGGCUUUGAAGUGUGGACGCCAGUCUGCAUGGAGCCGACCUUGAAAUACCACCCUUUAAUGUUUGAUGUUCUAACGUUGGCCCCUAAUCGGGGUUGCGGACAGUGUCUGGUGGGUAGUUUGACUGGGGCGGUCUCCUCCUAAAGAGUAACGGAGGAGCACGAAGGUUGGCUAAUCCUGGUCGGACAUCAGGAGGUUAGUGCAAUGGCAUAAGCCAGCUUGACUGCGAGCGUGACGGCGCGAGCAGGUGCGAAAGCAGGUCAUAGUGAUCCGGUGGUUCUGAAUGGAAGGGCCAUCGCUCAACGGAUAAAAGGUACUCCGGGGAUAACAGGCUGAUACCGCCCAAGAGUUCAUAUCGACGGCGGUGUUUGGCACCUCGAUGUCGGCUCAUCACAUCCUGGGGCUGAAGUAGGUCCCAAGGGUAUGGCUGUUCGCCAUUUAAAGUGGUACGCGAGCUGGGUUUAGAACGUCGUGAGACAGUUCGGUCCCUAUCUGCCGUGGGCGCUGGAGAACUGAGGGGGGCUGCUCCUAGUACGAGAGGACCGGAGUGGACGCAUCACUGGUGUUCGGGUUGUCAUGCCAAUGGCACUGCCCGGUAGCUAAAUGCGGAAGAGAUAAGUGCUGAAAGCAUCUAAGCACGAAACUUGCCCCG